GUCAAUGUGGAGGCUAUAUACAUGGGGUACCGGUACAGAGUCAAUGUGGAGGCUAUAUACAGGGGGUACCGGUACAGAGUCAAUGUGGAGGCUAUAUACAGGGGUACCGGUACAGAGUCAAUGUGGAGGCUAUAUACAGGGAGUACCGGUACAGAGACAAUGUGGAGGCUAUAUACAGGGGGUACCGGUACAGAGUCAAUGUGGAGGCUAUAUACAGGGGGUACUGGUACAGAGUCACUGUGGAGGCUAUAUACAGGGGGUACCGGUACAGAGUCAAUGUGUCGAGGUAAUUGAGAUAAUUAUGUACAUGUAGGUAGAGUUAUUAAAGUGACUAUGCAUAGAUAAUAACAGAGUAGCAGCAGCAUAGAAGGGGGGGGGGGCAAUGCAAAUAGUCUGGGUAGCCAUUUGAUUAGAUGUUCAGGAUUCUUAUGGCUUGGGUGUAGAAGCAGUUUAGAAGCCUCUUGGACCUAGACUUGGCCCUCCGGUGAUGUACUUGGCCGUACACACUACCCUCUGUAGUGCCUUGCGUUCUGAGACAAUUGCCAUACCAGGCAGUGAUGCAACCCGUCAGGAUGCUCUCGAU
ensembl:lncRNA